rnacentral:lncRNA from 1 species
UCCACAAACUGAUUUUUAUGCAAGAAAUUAAUCAAUUCAAGUUGAAGAAAUAAUUAAAAAGAAAGCGAACAUGAAACAAGCAGCAAUGGUGUAUGGGCCAAGCUGGGGUUCCUAGAGUAAAUUGUGUGGGCUUUCAGCCACAAGCCCACAAAUCCAAGUCUGAACUAGGAGGGGUGUACAAUGAAAUAAGGCUGAGUGGGCCCAUUCUCAGGCCCAGCGGCCAAUGUUGCGACUCAAAACACAAGGGAAAGUUGCACCGGGCAUGUAUGGGGUGUGAAUAGCUUUUUGAUAUUAUGGCCAUGUGUAUGGGCCAAAAGCCCAAAGCAAACACUCCAAAAAAAGAAUAAAAUACAGUCAGCUUCGCCUCAAUCCUUCCCCUCUCGAGCUCGACCUGAGUCAACAAGGACGACGGUGUUCCGACGAAGGGAGCAUAAAUCACCUACCCCUCACACUUCCGUCUCAAAUCUAUGAUCUCACCAAGGCAAAGAAAACACAUCCCGAUCCAUAAGAGUCAAGGAUGAAGGUGAUCUCACGGGAGAUUGAUCGAAGUGGAGAUGAAAUCGCGGCUUCAGCAUUGCCCACGAGGUGUUUGACGAAAGUCCCAUUGAUCUUUUAUGUUGCUCCUUUGUGCGUGCCAUCCACGUCUUCGCAACAAUGGGAGAUGAACUAUGCGACGGACGUGACAUAUGUGGCGUCUCGUCGUCACCCUGCGAUCGAGACUCAAUUUCCCUUAGCGCGCAAAUUUGAAACGAAACUAAAGAUUGAAGACUUACCGUAUAUGAAUCUGACAAGGUGAUUUUGCAGAGUCGGCGUCGAUGGAAAAUGUUUUGCACUUCUCCCUCUUCAGAUGUGUGGUGAUUCGUUGAUGUGGUUCUUCCAAGUCCGAAAGGUUGUGUGAGAUUUUGGAUAAGUGAGGUGAAUCACGAUGAGGCCGUUGUAACCGUGCAUAAUUUGGUUCCGAAAGGCGCUUCCAUGCGGUGGCGAAACGGAUGCGACUCCGGUAAGCUUCUCUCUACCCUUCAGUUUUGCAUAUCCUUCUGUUGCAUUUUGUUCUACCUUCUUCUUCUUCAAUCAUUGUGGCGUUUCGGUUUAUGUUUGGAGAUGUUGAUCAGUUCAGGGAAUUCACUCUGUUUUUGGUUUCUUUUGCAGGGUUUAUGGUGAUUACAGAGUAGAAAAUAAUGGGAAAUUUGCAGAAUGAGCCAUCUGCGAUGCAGAGUGCCAUGAUGUAUUUAUAGAGUUUAUAGUUGAU